CAUAUGUCAUGAAGAGGAAGUGGGAAGGUUCUUUCUUCUGCCCUGAACAAAAGGGUCCAGUCUCCUUCAUCUCAUGAGUUACUUGUGUCAGUCAGCUCGAGGUUGAAUUCAGGCCUACCUUCCCCUUGCAUAGACUUAAGGCAGGGCUGU